rnacentral:rRNA from 1 species
GACGAACGCUGGCGGCAUGCCUAACACAUGCAAGUCGAACGAGACCUUCGGGUCUAGUGGCGCACGGGUGCGUAACGCGUGGGAAUCUGCCCCUCGGUUCGGAAUAACACAGAGAAAUUUGUGCUAAUACCGGAUAAUGACUUCGGUCCAAAGAUUUAUCGCCGAGGGAUGAGCCCGCGUAAGAUUAGCUUGUUGGUGGGGUAAUGGCCUACCAAGGCGACGAUCUUUAGCUGGUCUGAGAGGAUGAUCAGCCACACUGGGACUGAGACACGGCCCAGACUCCUACGGGAGGCAGCAGUGGGGAAUAUUGGACAAUGGGCGAAAGCCUGAUCCAGCAAUGCCGCGUGAGUGAUGAAGGCCUUAGGGUUGUAAAGCUCUUUUACCUAGGGAUGAUAAUGACAGUACCUGGAGAAUAAGCUCCGGCUAACUCCGUG